AUUCCACAUUCACUGGCAUACAAAGCAAAAGAGCACAGCAAUAAAACCACAAUCAGAAAAAUGGAUCACAGACAGCAAGCAUCUGAUACAGUUGUGCUGUUGCAGCCUCAGCCUCCACCUGCAUAUUAUCCACCCAGCUCAGGCCAGUCAGUCCAGCAGGGCCCCUACAAUCAAGGGCCACUUCCAGGACAAGCGGUUGUUUCAGUGCAGACUGCAGGCUUUGUGCCCGCCGCACCACUGCCGGAUUACUUGUGUUACUCCAUCUUUAACCUGAUUUUCUGCUACUGCUGCAGUCCUCUGAGCAUCGCAGCGCUGGUAUUUUCCCUCUCUACUCGAAACGCCAACGAUGCUGGACACAGAGAAUUGGGUGUGAGGAACUCCAAAACGGCGCGUACCCUGAAUUGGCUCGCCUGUGGUCUUGGC
ensembl:processed_transcript